UACGUAGGGUGCAAGCGUUGUCCGGAAUUAUUGGGCGUAAAGAGCUCGUAGGCGGUCUGUCGCGUCGGAUGUGAAAAUCCAGGGCUCAACCCUGGACCUGCAUUCGAUACGGGCAGACUAGAGCUCGGCAGGGGAGACUGGAAUUCCUGGUGUAGCGGUGAAAUGCGCAGAUAUCAGGAGGAACACCGGUGGCGAAGGCGGGUCUCUGGGCCGAUACUGACGCUGAGGAGCGAAAGCGUGGGGAGCGAACAGG
rnacentral:rRNA from 1 species